GCACUUCUGAGAAGUCCACAAUAGGACGAAACGGCCGUCCAGUGC
rfam:Schistosoma mattheei strain Denwood, Zambia genome assembly, scaffold: SMTD_scaffold0010213